GCUCGCUUAGCUCAGAG
rnacentral:tRNA from 1 species